GUGCUCACUUCUGCAGCAUGUAUACUAAAAUUGGAACAAUACAGAGAAGAUUAGUAUGGCCCCUGCACAAGGAUGACACGCAAAUUCAUGAAGUAGUCCAUAUACUG